AGUCCCCUGGAAGACGACCAGGUUGAUAGGCCGGCGAUGUAAGGCGAGUAAUCGUUUCAGUUGACCGGUACUAACGGACGAACGCUUGACCAC
rnacentral:rRNA from 1 species